GCGUGGCAGCGUGCUAAUACAUGCAGUCGAGCGAACAGAUAAGGAGCUUGCUCCUUUGACGUUAGCGGCGGACGGGUGAGUAACACGUGGGUAACCUACCUAUAAGACUGGGAUAACUUCGGGAAACCGGAGCUAAUACCGGAUAACAUUUGGAACCGCAUGGUUCUAAAGUGAAAGAUGGUUUUGCUAUCACUUAUAGAUGGACCCGCGCCGUAUUAGCUAGUUGGUAAGGUAACGGCUUACCAAGGCAACGAUACGUAGCCGACCUGAGAGGGUGAUCGGCCACACUGGAACUGAGACACGGUCCAGACUCCUACGGGAGGCAGCAGUAGGGAAUCUUCCGCAAUGGGCGAAAGCCUGACGGAGCAACGCCGCGUGAGUGAUGAAGGGUUUCGGCUCGUAAAACUCUGUUAUUAGGGAAGAACAAAUGUGUAAGUAACUGUGCACAUCUUGACGGUACCUAAUCAGAAAGCCACGGCUAACUACGUGCCAGCAGCCGCGGUAAUACGUAGGUGGCAAGCGUUAUCCGGAAUUAUUGGGCGUAAAGCGCGCGUAGGCGGUUUCUUAAGUCUGAUGUGAAAGCCCACGGCUCAACCGUGGAGGGUCAUUGGAAACUGGGAAACUUGAGUGCAGAAGAGGAAAGUGGAAUUCCAUGUGUAGCGGUGAAAUGCGCAGAGAUAUGGAGGAACACCAGUGGCGAAGGCGACUUUCUGGUCUGUAACUGACGCUGAUGUGCGAAAGCGUGGGGAUCAAACAGGAUUAGAUACCCUGGUAGUCCACGCCGUAAACGAUGAGUGCUAAGUGUUAGGGGGGUUUCCGCCCCUUAGUGCUGCAGCUAACGCAUUAAGCACUCCGCCUGGGGAGUACGACCGCAAGGUUGAAACUCAAAGGGAAUUGACGGGGACCCGCACAAGCGGUGGAGCAUGUGGUUUAAUUCGAAGCAACGCGGAAGAACCCUUACCAAAUCUUGACAUCGUUUGAAAACUCUAGAGAUAGAGCCAUCCGCGUUCGGGGGACAAAGUGACAGGUGUGCAUGGUUGUCGUCAGCUCGUGUCGUGAGAUGUUGGGUUAAGUCCCGCAACGAGCGCAACCCUUAAAGCUUAGUUGCCGAUCGU
rnacentral:rRNA from 1 species